GAUGAACGCUAGCGACAGGCUUAACACAUGCAAGUCGAGGGGCAGCGAGAAAGUGCUUGCACUUUUGUCGGCGACCGGCGCACGGGUGAGUAACACGUAUGCAACCUGCCCUUGUCAGGGGGAUAAGCGGGGGGAAACCCCGUCUAAUACCGCAUAUAUGAUUUGGAGGCAUCUUUAAAUCAGGAAAGAAUUAUCGGACAAGGAUGGGCAUGCGGGACAUUAGGUAGUUGGGGGUGUAACGGACCACCAAGCCGACGAUGUCUAGGGGUUCUGAGAGGAAGGUCCCCCACACUGGUACUGAGACACGGACCAGACUCCUACGGGAGGCAGCAGUGAGGAAUAUUGGUCAAUGGGCGAGAGCCUGAACCAGCCAAGUCGCGUGAGGGAUGACGGUACUAAGUAUUGUAAACCUCUUUUGUCAGGGAACAAAGAGACCACGAGUGGUAAGAUGAGUGUACCUGAAGAAAAAAGCAAUCGGCUAACUCCGUGCCAGCAG
rnacentral:rRNA from 1 species